rnacentral:rRNA from 1 species
UACGUAGGGUGCAAGCGUUUAAUCGGAAUUACUGGGCGUAAAGCGUGCGCAGGCGGUUCGUUGUGUCGGCGGUGAAAGCCCCGGGCUUAACCUGGGAAUGGCCGUUGAAACUGGCGAACUGGAGUGUGGCAGAGGGAGGUAGAAUUCCACGUGUAGCAGUGAAAUGCGUAGAGAUGUGGAGGAAUACCGAUGGCGAAGGCCAGCCUCCGUGGGCCAACACUGACGCUCAUGCACGAAAGCGUGGGAGCAACAG